CCGAAACUAAGUGAGCUACUUUAAAAUAGCCCUAAGAGCCAAUCCGUCUCUGUUGCAAUAGAGUGGAAUAAUUUUUAAGUAGAGGUGAUAAACCUAUCGAACUUAGAGAUAGCUGGUUUUUUAAGAAAAGAAUUUUAGUUCAACCCUAAGCCUUAAAUUAUAAAAAUAAUUAAACUAGACUUAGGAGUUAUUCAAAUUAGGAACAACUUAUUUGAAACAGGAUACAACCUAGAAUAUAGGGUAAGACAAAUCAAAUUUUAACAAGUGGGCCUAAGAGCAGCCAUCUUUUAAAAAGCGUCAAAGCUUAGCUCUAAAAUUUUUUUAAUUUUCACAAUUAUUUCUAACCCCUAUUUACUAUUAAAAAAUCCCAUAACAUUAUGGAAGCUAUUAUGCUAGAACAAGUAACAAGAAAAAGAUUUUUCUCCAAAAUGCAAGCUUAAGCCGCAAUAGACAAACUGCCGGCAAUUAACGUUCAUAAACUAUUUUUAGUAACACCAACAAGAAAACACUACAUUUUUAAACGUCAACCUUACACUAGAACAU
rnacentral:rRNA from 1 species